GCCUCAAUCAUCUGCAUUGCUAGCGCAAGCUGGUUUCCACAGUCACAUCUAGCUGAUCCGAAAAUAUCUCCGGUAAGGCAUUCUGAGUGUACCCUCACCAGAAUAUCUUGUCCAUCACCAAUGUCACCCUUAACCAUUGCAAUAUGCUCAAUGCCAUCCAAAAUAGAUCUGUAGCAAUAUGCCUGAAAUGGUCCCCAUGUAGUCGGCAUGCGAGCAGCUUCUCCGGCACAUUCAACUAAUCUAUCUCUCUUCCUCCUAUACCUGACUAAAUCAGCAAUGGAAAUAAUUUUCAAGUUUUCCUGUUUGGCAAAUUCUCGAAGUUUUGGUAACCUAGCCAUGGAACCGUCUUCAUCAACUACCUCACAAAGGAUUCCAACUGGGUCUAAUCCAGCAAGCACCGCAAGAUCGACAGAUGCUUCAGUAUGUCCAGCUCUCUUCAAAACACCACCUUCCCUGUACUUGAGGGGAAAUAUAUGGCCAGGCCGCUUAAAAUCAUAAGGUUUUGAAUCUCUUGAUGCAAGUGCUAAUACUGUGGCCGCCCUAUCACUAGCUGAGACUCCAGUGGUUGUGCCUUCUCUUGCAUCCACUGUCACCGUAAAAGCAGUACAGAGUUGCUCCUCGUUCUCCUUUUCAUUCACCAUAAGUGGAAUCUGUAACCUCUCCAGGUCUUCACCUUUCAUGGCCACGCAAACAAUACCUGUUCCAUGCUUUACAAUGAAAGCCAUGGCCUCCGGAGUUGCAGCUUGUGCUGCCAUUAUCAAAUCUCCCUCGUUUUCUCUAUCUUCAUCAUCAACGACAACCACCAUCUUUCCCUGACGUAUAUCUUCAAUGGCAUCCGCAACAGAAGCAAAACCUUCUGUUGGGCGAUCAAAAUCAUAUUCAUCCUCAUCAAUG
rnacentral:misc_RNA from 1 species